UAGGGAAUCUUCCACAAUGGGCGCAAGCCUGAUGGAGCAACACCGCGUGAGUGAAGAAGGGUUUCGGCUCGUAAAGCUCUGUUGUUAAAGAAGAACACGUAUGAGAGUAACUGUUCAUACGUUGACGGUAUUUAACCAGAAAGGGCGGCUAAAUACGUGCCAG
rnacentral:rRNA from 1 species